rnacentral:rRNA from 1 species
GAUGAACGCUGGCGGCAUGCCUAAUACAUGCAAGUCGAGCGAAUGGAUUAAGAGCUUGUUCUUAUGAAGUUAGCGGCGGACGGGUGAGUAACAUGUGGGUAACCUGCCCAUAAGACUGGGAUAACUCCGGGAAACCGGGGCUAAUACCGGAUAACAUUUUGAACCGCAUGGUUCGAAAUUGAAAGGCGGCUUCGGCUGUCACUUAUGGAUGGGCCCGCGUCGCAUUAACUAGUUGGUGAGGUAACGGCUCACCAAGGCAACGACGCGUAGCCGACCUGGGAGGGUGAUCGGCCACACUGGGACUGAGACACGGCCCAGACUCCUACGGGAGGCAGCAGUAGGGAAUCUUCCGCAAUGGACGAAAGUCUGACGGAGCAACGCCGCGUGAGUGAUGAAGGCUUUCGGGUCGUAAAACUCCGUUGCUAGGGAAGAACAAGUGCUAGUUGAAUAAGCUGGCACCUUGACGGUACCUAACCAGAAAGCCACGGCUAACUACGUGCCAGCAGCCGCAGUAA